GACGAACGCUGGCGGCGUGCUUAACACAUGCAAGUCGAACGGAAAGGCCCUGCUUGCAGGGUGCUCGAGUGGCGAACGGGUGAGUAACACGUGGGUGAUCUGCCCCUUACUUUGGGAUAAGCCUGGGAAACUGGGUCUAAUACUGGAUAGGACCAUGCUGUAGGUGGUGUGGUGGAAAGAUUAGUUUCGGUAAGGGAUGAGCUCGCGGCCUAUCAGCUUGUGGGUGGGGUAAUGGCCUACCAAGGCGUCGACGGGUAGCCGGCCUGAGAGGGUGGACGGCCACAUUGGGACUGAGAUACGGCCCAGACUCCUACGGGAGGCAGCAGUGGGGAAUAUUGCACAAUGGGCGCAAGCCUGAUGCAGCGACGCCGCGUGGGGGAUGACGGCCUUCGGGUUGAAAACUCCUUUCAGCCAUGACGAAGCCCUUGUGGUGACGGUAGUGGUAGAAGAAGCACCGGCUAACUACGUG
rnacentral:rRNA from 1 species